ensembl:lncRNA
CUCUAGAACACGUGCUACCAAUGGGGAGACAAGUGAAAAUCUCUGAGAGUGAGAUCAAGGUAAUCAUCGGUCAGAUCAACUAAACCUGUAACAUGUCUUCACCAAGCAAGCUUGCUUUAACUGUUGCUACAAAAACCUUGCAUGUUCUCCAAGCAUCAGGUAGCUUAAACAAGUUGUUUGUCAAGAACUUGGAGCCAGCUGUGUCCAGUUUAAGUUCAAGCCAGUUAACUGGCUUAGGACCACCAGCCCUCUAAUUGGGCUUGAACAAGUGUUUGCCCAUGACCUUUUGACAUCAGAGGGCCCAAAACUCCACCCUCAGAACAUGCUAAUGUCUCCAUUUCUUGAAUCUUCAGCCUAUGAAGAAGCCUAUAGCAUAGUUUUGCCUGCGAGAACAAUUAUAUCACUUUCUAAUUUCCAAUCACCUUUUCCCAUGCUUCCCACGCCUCGGCUUUAUCCCAUAAAUACCCCCAGCCCCUUAUUUCAGGGGAGGCUGGUUUGAGAGUUCUCCAUCUUUCUGUUUGGUCACCUUGUGGAUGAGCCCUUUGGUGCAAAGUUUGGCAUCUCAGCAUUUGGUUUGCUGUAUACGUCAGAAAGCAACCUGUUUAAGUAAGAAGAGGAUGUUGGGCGUGCACCCAGUCUUCUGUAGUGGAGCAGGCCAAGGAGAAGAAACUUGCAAGAAAUGAAAUUGACGUCAUCGACCAUUGCUGGACAGAAAGGAAUACAACUUGAAGAAAGCUCUUUAUAAAGAAAGGGAAGGACUGGCUUUUCAGACACCUUAUUUUUAAGUCUACUUCAGCAUAAGCAAUCCUGAUGAUUUGGGGCCUGAUUACCACAUUUUUAGCCCUGUCUCUUUCUGAUGAGAUGGGAUUUGACCAAUUCAUUUUUCAUUAACCCCUGUGCCAGAAGACUGAAAGAAGGAACAAAAGAAGAAGAAAAUCAGAGAUGCCCAAGCUUUUUUGGUUUUCUUUUUUGAUUGAUGGAUGAAUAAACUCAGAAUAAGGAGGAUGAGAGUUAACCAAGUGAAGAUGAGGAGCAAGAAUCUUCUGGGCAGGGGAACAGUAUGUUUAAAGACCUGGAACUUCAGGAAGAGUAUGGUAUUUUAAGGGAACUGAAAAGGAGUGCAGCUGGAGUGCCAAGGACAUGGAACAGGUUGAGGCUGGCAGACAAGUAGGGCCAGAGCAUCCUGGGACCUGCAGCCAUGCUGAAGAUUGUGGACUUUUGUAAGGGCAGUAGAAGGCUGUUUUAAAGCUUAAGCCACAGACUCAGGUUAGUGUUUCUAAAAGAACUCUCUGUAGUUCUUGGCUUAGGGUAGAUUUUAUUAACACCAGGUCAUAACUCCCUUUCCCUUGCCUCAAUCUGAGCAAAACCUUGUAGGGUAGACAAGAAACACAUGAUUACUUCCAAACUGCAGGUGUAAAAUUAAAAAAGCAAAGAUUCCGAGAGCAUAAACAAAUUGCUGAUGGUCAGCAUGACUUGAUUCUGACCUUCCCUGGCUUCAAGCAGCCAUGAACAAAGGACACGGGAAGUGCGUAUAGGGAGCACCCGGCUGAAUGCCCUUGGUGUCUCUCCUCCUCUCUGUCCUAGGGAGGGGGGCAUCAGGCACAACAUACAUUAGAACCCAUGCUUGUAAUAAAUCUUCUGCUUCCCUGUGAAAAGACCAUCAUGAAUCUUGUCUAUUAAAGAGCUUCUCUGCUCUGUGAAUUUUAACAACCUUCUUUAGUGUAGAAAUUCGGCCUCUUGUUGUCCACGUUUGAAAUUCAAAUCUUGGGUGAGUAGAUAUAUUACACCACUGAGGUACAGGAGCGGGAAGGCCAUCCAUCCAUCCACCUCCAUUUAGGUCAUUCCUUUUCACCUGUAACGGAUGAAUCCUCUGCCCUGGUUUGCUUCUACAUCCCUGUUCACCCGCUGCCCCCACCCCCUACCCCACGAUGAGAGCCCAGAACACUGACUGCUGUGGUGGGAGGAAGAGAGGUAACUGCUACAGGUGAGGUGCAGUACGAGCCAGGUCCCAUUUAAUCCAUCAGCAGCAAUCCCUUCCUUGUUUUUGCUGACUGAGAGAUCUAAAUCGCAUGUUUCAAGUAAAACGUACCAACACGUUGGAAUUAAAGUCAAUAGUCUCUAUUCUGACUACCCCCACACCAAAUCCACCCCCAUCAUCCCUUACAUUGUCAGAACCACCUCCCCAGUGACUCAGCCUCAGAUUUUUCUCCCAACUUUCUCAUGCUCCAUUACCAUCAGUCAUCUGAUGGAAACAAAUCUGGUUAGGUUUCUGCCUGGCUCAGAAACAUUCCCUGGCUCCCCACUGCCCACAGCUUACCAUCUAAUAAGGAACAAAACCAAUCAUGCUAGAAGAACAAUAAGAGAAGAGGCCUGUUAGGGCAACGGGAGGUGUGGAUGAUUCAUGAUGCUUUUGCUGCAGGAGCAGCGGCUGAGGGGUGGGGGCUUGGGGGUGGGGAGCACGGAGACUCCACAGAAGGCGGCUGAGCUGGAUUUGGUGAUGGAUAGAGGGGUCUUUUCUAAAAAGAAGGCGGCAACAUGAGCAAAGGCACUGAAAGGCUGAGCCACGGCUUCGGCUGCCCCUGGGACACAUAACCGGUUGUUAUUGCGCCAUGGAAUCUUUCUCUCCGAGCUCUGAGGAGCAGCAUAGCAACAAGCAAUGAUUUGUUACAGCUAGGUUGUCAGGCAGUUUAUCUGAUGUUAGCGUCCACGUGAACUGCAU